rnacentral:rRNA from 1 species
GACAGAGGGUGCAAACGUUGUUCGGAAUUACUGGGCGUAAAGCGCGUGUAGGCUGCUCCGCAAGUCGGAUGUGGAAGCCCUGGGCUCAACCUAGGAAGUGCAUUCGAUACUGCGGAGCUGGAGUCCUGGAGAGGAAGGCGGAAUUCUCGGUGUAGAGGUGAAAUUCGUAGAUAUCGAGAGGAACACCGGUGGCGAAGGCGGCCUUCUGGACAGUGACUGACGCUGAGACGCGAAAGCGUGGGGAGCAAACAGG